rnacentral:lncRNA from 1 species
CUUGCAAGAAACCUCAGGACUUGAGUAACAGCAACAUGCUCACCAAGCUCCUGUAUCUACUGGAAAAUGGAAGUCCAGCCUUACCAACUUGUGAGCCUUGUCUGAAGGGAGCCAGGGCCUGCCAAUGGAACCACCUCCAUGAGCUGCAACUGCUGUUGUCAUUAAUACCAUUGUAUCUAUUUUUUGAGAGAGAUAAACUUUUCAUGGUGUUACAUUUUGGAAAAAAAAAAAAGACUAGGUGAACAGUCAGGUAGGAAAGCAGCAUAACAGUCCCUUAAAUUCUGAUCAUGUAGGACAUUCUUCUUUGCCCUGGGCCUGGGAAAAUGCAGCAUGUUCCAGAGCAAAAGUCCUAAUGAGGGGAACUAAACCAGUGGGACCCAAACCAAUGUCCUGGCUCACUGAGGACCCGUUAGAACCAAAUCUCUGGGUGUGGACAGGCUCCCAUACUUUUCAAAAAUUCCCCUGAUGACUAAUGAACAACCAGGGGUAAGAACCAGUGGCCCAGAGGAAUAACCAGCCCAGCUGUUGUACGAGCUCGCUAAGCUGGCUCAGGUCAAUGUUGAAUUCUCUGCUAGGCAGCUCCUCAUAAGAACUGGCAGAGAUGGUUCUUACACAACAACAGGUGACAACUCCAGACUCUGCCGGAAGUUCCAGGAUCUGGGUUCCCGGACAAUGCAUGACACUCAGUCCAGCAUUGCAGGUGGAAGAGCGACAGUGAAAAGACCCAAGUCAAUUAAAAUGUGUUAACCAAAACAGGAAACAUGAGUGAGGUGAUUGAGAGUGUGUUUAACUUAGAUGUGUGAUUUUAUCAAUACUUUCAUUGUUCAAAAACUCUUAUUUUUUAAAGAUAUUUUCAAAACAAGUCCAAACUUUACUUUUCA